rnacentral:rRNA from 1 species
UGGAGAGUUUGAUCCUGGCUCAGAUUGAACGCUGGCGGCAGGCCUAACACAUGCAAGUCGAACGGUAACAGGAAGCAGCUUGCUGCUUCGCUGACGAGUGGCGGACGGGUGAGUAAUGUCUGGGAAACUGCCUGAUGGAGGGGGAUAACUACUGGAAACGGUAGCUAAUACCGCAUAACGUCGCAAGACCAAAGAGGGGGACCUUCGGGCCUCUUGCCAUCGGAUGUGCCCAGAUGGGAUUAGCUAGUAGGUGGGGUAACGGCUCACCUAGGCGACGAUCCCUAGCUGGUCUGAGAGGAUGACCAGCCACACUGGAACUGAGACACGGUCCAGACUCCUACGGGAGGCAGCAGUGGGGAAUAUUGCACAAUGGGCGCAAGCCUGAUGCAGCCAUGCCGCGUGUAUGAAGAAGGCCUUCGGGUUGUAAAGUACUUUCAGCGGGGAGGAAGGCGACAGGGUUAAUAACCCUGUCGAUUGACGUUACCCGCAGAAGAAGCACCGGCUAACUCCGUGCCAGCAGCCGCGGUA